rnacentral:rRNA from 1 species
UGGGGAAUCUUGGACAAUGGGCGCAAGCCUGAUCCAGCCAUGCCGCGUGGAUGAUGAAGGCCUUAGGGUCGUAAAAUCCUUUCGCCGAGGACGAUAAUGACGGUACCUGGAGAAUAAGCCCCGGCAAACUUCGUGCCAGCAGCCGCGGUAAUACGAAGGGGGCUAGCGUUGUUCGGAAUUACUGGGCGUAAAGCGCACGUAGGCGGAUUGUUAAGUCAGAGGUGAAAUCCCGGAGCUCAACUUCGGAACUGCCUUUGAUACUGGCAAUCUAGAGUCCGGAAGAGGUUAGUGGAAUUCCCAGUGUAGAGGUGAAAUUCGUAGAUAUUGGGAAGAACACCAGUGGCGAAGGCGGCUAACUGGUCCGGUACUGACGCUGAGGUACGAAAGCGUGGGGAGCAAACAGGAUUAGAUACCCGUGUAGUCCCUGAGCGGGCUGGCAAGGCGCAU